AUUGAACGCUGGCGGCAGGCCUAACACAUGCAAGUCGAACGGUAACAGGAAGCAGCUUGCUGCUUUGCUGACGAGUGGCGGACGGGUGAGUAAUGUCUGGGAAACUGCCUGAUGGAGGGGGAUAACUACUGGAAACGGUAGCUAAUACCGCAUAAUGUCGCAAGACCAAAGAGGGGGACCUUCGGGCCUCUUGCCAUCGGAUGUGCCCAGAUGGGAUUAGCUAGUAGGUGGGGUAAAGGCCCACCUAGGCGACGAUCCCUAGCUGGUCUGAGAGGAUGACCAGCCACACUGGAACUGAGACACGGUCCAGACUCCUACGGGAGGCAGCAGUGGGGAAUAUUGCACAAUGGGCGCAAGCCUGAUGCAGCCAUGCCGCGUGUAUGAAGAAGGCCUUCGGGUUGUAAAGUACUUUCAGCGGGGAGGAAGGGAGUAAAGUUAAUACCUUUGCUCAUUGACGUUACCCGCAGAAGAAGCACCGGCUAACUCCGUG
rnacentral:rRNA from 1 species